ACGAACGCUGGCGGCGUGCUUACACAUGCAAGUCGAACGGGACGAGGAGCUUGCUCCUCUGAUCAGUGCGAACGGGUGAGUAACACGUGAGCAACUGCCCCAGACUCUGGGAUAACAGUUGGAAACAGCUGCUAAUACGGGAUACGAGACGGAGAGGCAUCUCUACCGUCUGGAAAGUUUUCGGUCUGGGAUGGACUCGCGGCCUAUCAGCUAGUUGGUGAGGUAAUGGCUCACCAAGGCGACGACGGGUAGCCGGCCUGAGAGGGCGACCGGCCACACUGGGACUGAGACACGGCCCAGACUCCUACGGGAGGCAGCAGUGGGGAAUAUUGCACAAUGGGCGAAAGCCUGAUGCAGCGACGCCGCGUGAGGGAUGACGGCCUUCGGGUUGUAAACCUCUUUCAGCAGGGAAGAAGCGAAAGUGACGGUACCUGCAGAAGAAGCACCGGCUAACUACGUGCCAGCAGCCGCGGUAAUACGUAGGGUGCGAGCGUUGUCCGGAAUUAUUGGGCGUAAAGAGCUUGUAGGCGGUUUGUCGCGUCUGCAGUGAAAAUCCGAGGCUCAACCUCGGACUUGCUGUGGGUACGGGCAGACUAGAGUAUGGUAGGGGAGACCGGAAUUCCUGGUGUAGCGGUGGAAUGCGCAGAUAUCAGGAGGAACACCGAUGGCGAAGGCAGGUCUCUGGGCCAUAACUGACGCUGAGAAGCGAAAGCAUGGGGAGCGAACAGGAUUAGAUACCCUGGUAGUCCAUGCCGUAAACGUUGGGCGCUAGGUGUGGGGCUCAUUCCAC
rnacentral:rRNA from 1 species